rnacentral:rRNA from 1 species
AUGACCAUGUUCGCAACCUCGAGACGGCGGCAGGAGAUGUCCACUUGGGAAGGGCACCUGAGGGCAAUUGUGAGGUGCGUGGCAAUCUGGACAAGGAAGCCUCCUAAGCUAGGUGCACCUGCCUACCCUGACAAACAACACGGUACAGUUGCUGCAAAUGACAUUGUGGGGAGCACUCUGGGAGAUUGCACAAAGGUGACGGGUUUAUCGGCACAGACACCUCUCAAGAACUACAGCAUGUCAAGCAUUGUUUCAGAUAAGAAUGUUCAGUGCGGGUCAGAAGAAGGCAAACCCUUGACGGUUUCCUUCAAGUUCUUCACUGUUGCAUCUCUGCAACAGUGCACCAACAGCUUCAGCGAUGAGAAUUUUCUGCGAGAAACUCGGUUCGGCAAAAUCUAUCUAGCAGAGCGCCCAGAAUGCAAGUAUGCGGUGCUGAAGCUUCGCGACACGGCUACGAAAAUGGCGGCUGACGAGUUUUUGGAGAAUGUUCGGACCGUCGCCGAGCUUCGACACCCCAACAUAGAAGAGCUUGUGGGUUGCUGCGUGGAGCACGGACAGAGGCUGCUCGUGUACAAACAUUUCAGCGAGCACACAUUGGACGACAUGAUCCACCGCGGCAGCAGCCAUGCUGCCGAUCCCGGCAACAAGUUCCUGUGGGAAGCUCGGAUCGCCGUGGCCCUCGAGGCCGCCAAGGCUCUCGAGUACCUCCAUGACGGCGGCGGCGGCCAGGAGGGACAUGUGGCCGUUGUCCACGGACAUUUCAGGCCGGAGCAUGUCCUUGUCGAUGGCGAGGCGCGGGUGCGCGUGUCCGGGUGCGGCCUCGCCCCGUUCGCGCAACCGUCAGCGUCAGGAGCUACUACGGACUGGCAUGACGACACACUGAGCUACGUCAGCCCGCCGGAAGAAGCGGCAACGACGGAGGCGGCCACAGGCCGCGACGUGUACUGCUUCGGUGUGGUGAUGCUGCAGCUCCUGACGGGGCGCAGGCCCUACGACAAUGUGCGGCCGCGAGGGGAGAGGCUGCUGGUGCCAUGGGCUGGCGCGCGGCUGCAUGACCUGAGCGCUCUGCGCAGGAUGGCCGACCCACGCCUCCGGGGCACGCCGGUGCCGGUCAGGUCCCUGUCACGGUUCGCGGACAUCAUCAGCAGAUGCGUGCAGCAGGAAGCCGAGUUCCGGCCGGCGAUGGCGGAGUUGGUGCAGGACCUGAUGGGCGCCACGGAAGAGGCGCGCAUGGCCGACUACUGCGGAGAGCUAUCGCCAGUGCCGGCAGAGUACCAACUUGUGUGA